UAAGGAAUAUUGGUCAAUGGACGCAAGUCUGAACCAGCCAUGCCGCGUGAAGGAUGAAGGUCCUCUGGAUUGUAAACUUCUUUUAUCUGGGACGAAAACAGGAUUUUUAUCUCAAUUGACGGUACCAGAGGAAUAAGCACCGGCUAACUCCGUGCCAGCAGCCGCGGUAAUACGGAGGGUGCGAGCGUUAUCCGGAUUUACUGGGUUUAAAGGGUGCGUAGGUGGGCUUAUAAGUCAGUGGUGAAAUCUCCGAGCUUAACUUGGAAACUGCCGUUGAUACUAUAGGUCUUGAAUUAUCUGGAGGUAAGCGGAAUAUGUCAUGUAGCGGUGAAAUGCUUAGAUAUGACAUAGAACACCAAUUGCGAAGGCAGCUUACUACAUAUAAAUUGACGCUGAGGCACGAAAGCGUGGGGAUCAAACA
rnacentral:rRNA from 1 species